rnacentral:lncRNA from 1 species
UGGAAAGACCUGCCAGAGGAAAUCUGCCACCCCUCUGGACUAGGAGACUUCAUCUACAUCAAAGUGGGCUGUCACCAAGCAGUGAGACUGCCUAACAUGAUGAGGCAAAUUCUGAAAUGAGGGAGAGAAGCCUGAGAUUUGAGCCCCAGCUCUGCCACUUACUACCCGUAAGCCCAGUGAACUUGACCUGGGAGGAGAGGAGCAACCCCAAGGCAGUUGCAGAUGUCUCCAAAGAGUGAAAAUGAGGAAACGUGUCCAGAGGGUUUUAUUCAUCCCCAUCCCUCCUAAAGUAUUCUCCCUCCUCCACAGGAUCGUCCCCACACCAGCCAGACCUCCCUCGCUCCCCAGCUCCCCAGAGACCACCCAUGGCUCUUCCGGAGGCUCAGCUGUUGUUGUUUUUGUUAUGUGGUGGUGCCAGGCAAGUAAAUGUGGGGACAGACCCAACCUUGGGGAUAAUGGCGAAAGAUAG